rfam:Triticum urartu cultivar G1812 contig1127155, whole genome shotgun sequence.
AUUAACUACGGGUGGCCUGGUCGUAUACCAGGCCACUGCACACGAAACAGAUCGUGUUGGUGUACAGGCUCAGCCCUGUUCCGUGUGCAGCAUAAUUGACGCAUUCAGAAAUUGGUAACGCAUGAACCCCAUCGUAAUUAACAAGCUUCAACGAAAGCUGGGCUACACUUUUACCC